GUCUCAAGGUCAAGCCCCUAGCAGCUUUGGCUAUGAUUGAUGAGGGGGAGCUUGAUUGGAAAAUAGUUGCAAUAUCGUUGGAUGAUCCGAGAGCUUCGCUCGUGAACGAUGUUGUCGAUGUUGAGAAACAUUUUCCGGGAACUCUCACUGCAAUUUGGGACUAGUUUAGAGAUUACAAGAUUCCAAAUGGAAAGCCUGCUAAUAAAUUUGGUCUUGGCAACAAGGCGGCCAACAAGGUAUAUCUACUUUUGGUCAUUGCAGAGACGAAUGAAGCUUGGGCUAAGCUGGUAAAGAGGUCAAUUCCUUCUGGAGAGUUGUCACUGGUGUAGAUGUGAUUUGUAGAGUUUGAACUGUAAACUGUGCCCUUCACAACAGGCUGUAGAUUUUCGGGAGGCAUUGGUAAUGUAUCUAUCGACCAAUUGAGUUGAUUGUUCCUUUUUUUUUUUUUUCUAGUUUCAUGGUCGAAUUUCAGUCGAAAGUUGCUCGAGCUAUGAGGACCUAUUUGCUUUGGCUAUUAAUUUAAAACUUUAGCAUUGUGAUAUGAUUGGAUGGGUCAUGUUAUUGACAUCUAUGAAAGGAUCUGCAGCAAAUUAGCUCA